GGUAGCUUAGUGGGUAGAGUGCUUGCCUAGCAUGUAAGAGGCCCUAGGUUCAAUCUGCAGUACUG
rnacentral:tRNA from 1 species